rnacentral:rRNA from 1 species
UACGAAGGGUGCAAGCGUUAAUCGGAAUUACUGGGCGUAAAGCGCGCGUAGGUGGCUUGAUAAGUUGGAUGUGAAAUCCCCGGGCUCAACCUGGGAACUGCAUCCAAAACUGUCUGGCUAGAGUGUGGUAGAGGGUAGUGGAAUUUCCAGUGUAGCGGUGAAAUGCGUAGAUAUUGGAAGGAACACCAGUGGCGAAGGCGACUACCAGGACUAACACUGACACUGAGGUGCGAAAGCGUGGGGAGCAAACAGG